AUGGCCGUCACUCUCUUGUCCAUAUGGUAUGCUAGACGCAAAGCGGUCUAUGAAUCCAUCUUUCAAAGUCCCCAACAGACAAUUUCCUUUGUAAACUACUUUAUAGCAGAACUGGGGCAGCUUGCUAAUAGCCCAGAGAGACAAAGUGCAGCAGCAAUACCAUCUGCACAGCCUGAACGGUGGUUACCACCUCCUAAUGGCGCUGUGAAAGUAAACGUUGAUGGUGCUGUAGCAAGAUCCCGUCGUGGGGGAGGAGCGGUAGCAGCUGUUUGCAGAGACCAAUUUGGUAUGUAUCUAGGCUCCUCGGCGGUGGUCUUCCAAGGAAUAAAUGAUCCUCUAAUUUUGGAGACUUAUGCAUGCCGUGAAGCGUUAGCACUUGCUGAUGAUCUCGCCGUCCAAACUAUUUGUGUGGCCUCAGACUGUCAAGAUGAAAUAUUGACUCGUUGUGAGAGUUUUUCUUCUUUUUCUUUUAUACAUGAGCGUAGGAACUUCAAUUAUGAGGCUCAUAAUCUCGCCAAGUUUGCUUGUAAUCUAGGUGUAGGUCGACAUGUUUGGUUGGGCGUCCCACAUGACCCAAACAGUGUACCUAUGACCGUUGUUUCGAAUGAAUAA
rnacentral:rRNA from 1 species